rnacentral:rRNA from 1 species
AGCCAGACUCCUACGGGAGGCAGCAGUGGGGGAUAUUGCACAAUGGGGGAAACCCUGAUGCAGCGACGCCGCGUGAGUGAAGAAGUAUUUCGGUAUGUAAAGCUCUAUCAGCAGGGAAGAAAAUGGCGGUACCUGACUAAGAAGCCCCGGCUAACUACGUGCCAGCAGCCGCGGUAAUACGUAGGGGGCAAGCGUUAUCCGGAUUUACUGGGUGUAAAGGGAGCGUAGACGGCAGCACAAGUCUGGAGUGAAAUCCCGGGGCUUAACCCCGGAACUGCUUUGGAAACUGUGCGGCUGGAGUGCAGGAGAGGUAAGCGGAAUUCCUAGUGUAGCGGUGAAAUGCGUAGAUAUUAGGAGGAACACCAGUGGCGAAGGCGGCUUACUGGACUGCAACUGACGUUGAGGCUCGAAAGCGUGGGGAGCAAACAGGAUUAGAUACCCCAGUACCA